AUAAAGAGGUGUUUUUGCAUUCAAAAUUUUGGUUUUUGAGGUGAAGUUUUCCUUUAU
rnacentral:tRNA from 1 species